rnacentral:rRNA from 1 species
GACGAACGCUGGCGGCGUGCCUAAUACAUGCAAGUCGAGCGAACAGACGCGGAGCUUGCUCCUCUGACGUUAGCGGCGCAGGUGUGAGUAACACGUGUAUCACCUACCUAUCAGACUGGGAUAACUUCGGGACACCGGAGAUAAUACCGUAUGAUAUCUUGAACCACAUGGUUCAAUAGUGAAAGUCGGUGUUGCUGUCACUUCUAGAUGGAUCCGCGCCGCAUUAUCUAGUUGGUAAGGUAACGGCUUUCCAAGGCAACGAGGCGUGGACGACGUGAGGGGGGGAUCGGCCACACGGGAGCGUAGCCACGCUCAAGGCGCCUACGGGAGGCAGCAGUAGGGAAUCGUCCGCAGUGGGCGAAAGCUUGACGGAGCGACGGCGCGUGAGUGAUGACGGUCUUCGGAUCGGAAAACCCUGUUACGAGUGAAAAACAAAUGUGGAAUGAACCGUGCACGUAUUGACGGUACCUAAUCAGAAAGCCACGGCUAACUACGUG